rnacentral:rRNA from 1 species
UACAGAGGGUGCGAGCGUUGUCCGGAAUUACUGGGCGUAAAGGGCGCGUAGGCGGCUUGGUAAGUCGGGGGUGAAAGUCAGCGGCUCAACCGCUGGACUGCCUUCGAGACUGCCUGGCUUGAGCAUGGUAGAGGCUGGCGGAAUUCCCGGUGUAGCGGUGGAAUGCGUAGAGAUCGGGAAGAACAUCGGUGGCGAAGGCGGCCAGCUGGGCCAUUGCUGACGCUGAGGCGCGACAGCAUGGGGAGCAAACAGG